rnacentral:rRNA from 1 species
GACGAAAGCUGGCGGCGUGCUUAACACAUGCAAGUCGAACGAAGUGGCGAACGGGUGAGUAACGCGUAAUCAACCUGCACUUCAGAGGGGGAUAACAGUUGGAAACGACUGCUACUACCGCAUACGGAAGGAGGGGAUUGGGUCUGACACGCGAGUUGGAGGGGUAACGGCCCACCAAGGCGAUGAUCAGUAGCCUGGCUGAGAGGAUGAACGGCCACAGUGGGACUGCGACACGGCCCAGACUCCUACGGGAGGCAGCAGUGGGGAAUCUUCCGCAAUGGACGAAAGUCUGACGGAGCAACGCCGCGUGAGUGAUGACGGCCUUCGGGUUGUAAAGCUCUGUUAAUCGGGACGCGGUACCGGAAUAGAAAGCAACGGCUAACUACGUGCCAGCAGCCGCGGUAAUUC